rnacentral:rRNA from 1 species
GCAAGUCGAGCGCUUCACUUCGGUGAGGAGCGGCGGACGGGUUAGUAACGCGUGGGAACGUACCCUUUUCUACGGAAUAGCCUCGGGAAACUGAGAGUAAUACCGUAUAAGCCCUUCGGGGGAAAGAUUUAUCGGGAAAGGAUCGGCCCGCGUUGGAUUAGGUAGUUGGUGAGGUAACGGCUCACCAAGCCGACGAUCCAUAGCUGGUUUGAGAGGAUGAUC